rnacentral:rRNA from 1 species
UACGUAGGGUGCAAGCGUUAAUCGGAAUGACUGGGCGUAAGGGGGCGCAGGCGGUCUGUUAAGACAGAGGGGAAAUCCCCGGGCUUAACCUGGGAAUGGCCUAUGUGACUGGCAGGCUAGAGGAUGGCAGAGGGAGGCGGAAUUCCACGUGUAGCAGUGAAAUGCGUAGAGAUGUGGAGGAACACCGAUGGCGUAGGCAGCCUCCUGGGCCAAUCCUGACGCUCAGGCACGAAAGCGUGGGGAUCAAACAGG